CUUGCUCUGGUGGCGAGUGGCGAACGGGUGAGUAAUAUAUCGGAACGUACCCAAGAGUGGGGGAUAACGUAGCGAAAGUUACGCUAAUACCGCAUACGAUCUAAGGAUGAAAGCAGGGGACCGCAAGGCCUUGUGCUCCUGGAGCGGCCGAUAUCUGAUUAGCUAGUUGGUGAGGUAAAGGCUCACCAAGGCAUCGAUCAGUAGCUGGUCUGAGAGGACGACCAGCCACACUGGAACUGAGACACGGUCCAGA
rnacentral:rRNA from 1 species